AUGAAGAUGAGAAAACUAUGCUUAGAAAAUAUUUCAUUGAAUCACGUCAAACUUCCGGGUGGAAUCUUAGAAAAAAAAAUUAUUAACUUUGUCUUGGUAGAUGGACACAAAGGGGAUGACAUUGGGAAAUCAUUAGAAAAAUUACUUAUUGAGUGGGGCAUUGAGCGAGUGUGCACUAUUACUGUCGAUAAUGCAAGUUCUAAUGACACUUGCUUAGCCCACAUGAAGAGGUCUUUGACUAAUAGGGGCUGUACACAUGCAAAAAGUCAGUAUCUUCACAUGAGGUGUGUGGCACAUAUUGUUAAUCUAGUGGUCCAAGAUGGGCUAUAG
rnacentral:rRNA from 1 species